UUCUACUGCAGAGGCCUCUGAUUUAUUGCCAUUUUGCCAAUGGGGUUGGAGAUCCUUGUUACAUGCCAGUUAAGGAAUGGGAGACUGAAGAAAAUUUUGGUGGAAACUCUCGACAGCUACAGUGAACUCAAUGCUGCAAUGAACCUAGUGCUCUUUGAAGAUGCCAUGCAGCUUGCAUAAUUGUGCAUUUUUUAGCUGUGUGGUCUGCGCCUUGCUCAUGGGAGUGGGAGACAUUAGGAAGCAGAGUCUGUCAAGACUGGCAGCGUACAUCAGCUCUCUAGACACCCUGUGGAAAGGAUAAGGGAUCCUAGACCUGCGGGUGGAUCUGGCCAAUUUGUACAUCUAGACUGGAGCCAAGAAUAUACCCACUGUGUUUCUGCUGACAGAUGCCUAAGUCCCAGAUGAGCGCUUCCUUGUGCUAAUUAACGAUCUGUUGGAAUCGGUUGAGUCCUACACGAGUCCUGGCCCGUCUCCCCUGAGACAUAGGUGAACCUAACAGAACUGAAGACCUUCCCAAACCCCCCAAUUUCAGUAACCAAUGUGUCUGCUGCAGUGAUGGCUUUGGUUGCUCCCAGAGGUAAAGUUCCCAAGGACAGACGCUGGAAAGAUGCAAAGA